rnacentral:lncRNA from 1 species
GAAAGUAGAAGGCAUUAAGGGGUUUUAAGCAUUGGGAGGGAGGUAGUUUGGGGACCGUGUGACGUGAGCAGAUUUGCAUUUCAGAAUGGUCAUUCCAGCUGCAGUGAGAAGGGGCUGGAGGGCUCAGGGUGGAUGUGGGAGGUCCAUCAAGGAGGUAGAUAUUGCCUCCAUUCUGAGCAAGACACAUGGAUGCCAACUUGGACUGGGAGCUGAAAACGGAGCAAAUGAACUGACCAAGCCAGUUUACCAAGGCAGAUGGAUGGGUGGUGCCAUCUGGAAAGAUGGAGCACUGGAAGAUGAUUGGAUUUGGGUGAAAAGAUCCUGAGAUCUGUUUGGGACAGAAUGGGUCUAGGGAGCCUUUGAAGCUUCCAAGUGGAAAUAACAGUGAUGGAUGGGUCUGGGAUGGAGACAUGCAUUUUGAGAGUCAUCUGCACACAGACUGCAAUGGAAGAUAUGGACAUGAACCAGAUUGCUUCAUAUCACCACUUAAAGCCACCUUCUCUCUCCAGUCACUCCACCUGUGCCUGCCCCCCAUGCAGGGAGACAGGUCUCUGCUGCCUCACAGUGACCCCACAGGCCCCUGUACGAGCUCCUGCUGCUACAGUGCCUCUUGUAUUGUUUUACGGCCACUCGCUUACAUGUCCGUUUUCCCCACUUAUGAUCCAGGAACACCGUGAGGACAGAGACACAUGGCUCUCCUUCUGAUGUCCUCAGCACACAGAGCACAUCCUGACCCUUUUGUGAGCAGUAAGUUACAGGCCCACUUUUCCGACCCACCACAAAGCCCCAGUGCAAUGUUCCUCCAGAAAGAGGUGAAAAUGCUGGCCCAGACCCAAGAGCCUCAUCUAAAACCCAGUCUCAGAGUCCUCAGAGGGGAAAGUAUCUCACUUGCACAUAGAAACCAAGAUGGGCACUGAAGAAUUUUAAAAAGAGAAUGGUACUGAUGUUUUCCCACUGUUACUACAGAUAAGCAAGCACUCAGGGAAUUUAUGGGAGAUGGAUUGACAGGUAGAGAAAUGGGUAAGCUCGGUCCUCAAGGAGCUUCCAGUACCAUCUCUUACUCAGAACUCGCUGUGCUCAUUAUAAGUCAAAACAAAGUUAUGUGUAUUUCAUGUGCAAUAUCUACAAAAAGUCAAAGCCUCAGUCCUCAAGGAGCAUAUAAUUUCAAGAAAAUAUAGAACAAACAUAGAUGAAAAUUUAACUCUAUCAAUACACACAGAGCCACCCCUACCCUCUCCAGUGCCUUUUUCUAAUUAGAAAAAGGUGCCUUUCCUCUAGGCAGACAUGGCACCUCAGUCAGCAGGGUAUGUGACUUGGCUGGAUUCUGGAUUUAAGCCCAUGUCCCCCUACACUGACCUGACAUCUUUGUGCAGUGCACAACCUGCACAACACAUAUAUGACAGGAGUAGCAGGUGCUGAUAACAAGGAGGGAUUGAUAUAGGAUGGAUGAACAGAGACUAGCUAGAACUGAUUGGGUAAGAACAGAAGAAACAACUACAAGGAAUGCCAGAGGCAUAUCCAGUGACAAAUCAGAUUUGACCAAGGCAAAGGGUACACUUGAUGGAGUAAGGAAAUGAGAUUGGGAAGCUUAGUUGGGAAGUAAUUAGGGAAGGCCUCAAACACCAGGCUAAGGAGUUUGCACUUGACCUUGCAGGAACUGACCCCUGCCUAGGGUCAUUAUCCUCCUUUCACCAAAGUAGUGCCACAGAGCAUUGGCUGCCAGUAUCAAUUCUCACCAAAGAAAGUGCCCACUUGCACCCUGAAGGUCAUGAAAGAUACCAGGUGACAAGAAAACAACUAAAUAUCUUUGUGCUGACACAGAACCCCUAAUAAGGUCUAAUCCCUUGCAUUUGUAGCCUGCAUAAAAAUAUAUGUUUUAUAUCCAAUAUAUUUAUUGUUACAAUAGUCUCCUUUGAUUAACAGGAUAAGAAAGCAGGGCAAUUAAGGACCUUGGUGAAAGUCAAAGAAAAAAUCCACAGGGGCAAAGCUGUGACUUGAACCCAGGUCUAUCACUCAGAAUCUGAUGCUCAAGGGCACUCAGCCUCCCUGCACUUGCCUCAGCAGGGUCCCUCUCUCACCAGUCACCACACUGACUACUUGAGUUUGCCAGCCCUGGGUCCUUUCCAAGAAAAGACAAAGCUUCCAAACAAGCAGUAAUGACAUUGAUUAUUCCAAGCCAGAGGCAGGGGAUUCUGGAUCAUUUCCUUAAAAUACUUGCUCAGCAGCACCCGGGUCCUCACCCCCACCGCCCCUGGUCCCAAGAAAGAUAUGUACAGUACUUCAUUAACAUGAAGGGGAGAAUAAUUCCCUGUGGAUUUUUGCAGUCUCAUUUCCCUAGCUUGUCAAAUGCCAGCAGCAAGCCAGUCUGGCUGCAUUGUUAGCUUGGCUGCCUCUUAUUUUUGUAGUGUUUUGCAGAUUGCAGCAGCUUUUUUUUUCCAGCUAGGUGAAAACAUAUCACCUUUAAGCUUCCUGGUGUAUCACUCAAAAGAUUUUCCUAUUCUCCUUGGACUUCAUAAUACAGAAUUCUCUUCUGCUAUCACAAGCCAUUUUUUUUUCUCCAAGAAAGAACAUAACAUUUAUUUUUAAUACCAUACUCCAAGAUAUGUGAUCAAAAUGUAAUUUAAAAAAAAAAACAAAUAAAUAAAAGACUUUCCAAUAUGUCACGCAAAAAAUAAAAGACAUGCUGUUCAAAAGCUAAAUUUCAGUCAUCGUAUUUACAUUCCUUUUUUUUCUGCUUCACCCUUUUGUUACUAAGGAAGUUGGAAUGAAAGGGGAUUUGUCUCUUUUUCUCAAAAACCCAUCUCUCGCUGCUAAGUUUCUCCACACCUGAAUUCACACAUCUCCCACAUCAUGAUAAUUACCUCCAUGGUAACCACUCAUGACAUCACAAACACAAUGUGAUAGCAGAAGAAAUAAGAGCUCCUGAGACCCUGCUGGAUACAAAUGCCCUGUACGACCUAAGGGCCUCCACAGCAGGAACAAAAGGAAUUUUGUCUGAGAUUUUAGCAGAAAAGUAAUUUUUGAAAUCUAUUCUUGGAUUUAGACGUUUAUUGGAUUUCAAAGCUUCUUGCUGCCCAGGAGCUUGUGAAUACGGUCAAAGGUCCAUGAAAUUUCCAAAGUGGUACCACAGCAGAUGAACCUGAAUGCAAACUGGAGGGACCAACAGAGUCCAGCCUAUAGACAUAAAUCCUUAACUACACCUAGAUCUCACUGUCUUUUCCAAUGGUCAAAAGAGGGGCUCUUGAAAUGGCUCCAUUGUUUUAUAGAAACAAGGUCUUCCUAAGAAGUCUUUUUCUCCUAUCUUUUUCUUACCCAAAAUAAAGGAAUGGCCCAAAACCUCAAGCCAAGCUUACCAGCUAUAAACAACUUGGUGGUCAGCAGCCAAAAGAAGAGUGGACAUGCCAUGGUCAUGUGGCACGUACCCUAUACAAGCUUCACAGAGAAGAAUGGAAGCACUUGAUUGUAAGACAGAGGGUGAGAUGUGAGAGGAAUAUUAACCUUCACUUUCCACAGGCAUUUUUUUCUGCAAAUGGCACCAGCUUUUGGACUUAAAAUUUUAUUCCAAAUACUAUUUAGAUGCAUCAGGGCCCUCAAAAUAUGGAUUUCAAGUUGGAGACAUCAAAGUGCAUUAUUUACUAAAACCACUGCAGCUUUUUUCCCCUCUCCUUUCACAAGAUGCUAUUGUAAAUUCAGGCUGCUUUAAUCUCUGUGAUUAAAAAAAAAAAGGAAGAAAGAAAAAAAAAGUGCUGCUUGAAGAGGAACUGAACUCACAAUCUGGGAGCUAGAAAGUAAAUAUUACCCAGAGAGUACCUCACUUUAAUUACUGGCCUGAACAUUGGUUUCAAUUUACAUGUAUUUUAAUUAGCCACAGAAGGGUUCACCUAUUACUCUCUGAAUACAAAACUUAAAAAGCAAACAGAAAAUAGGGAAAGAAAGGCUUAUUUAAGGGCCUCCAAGGAUUAAUCUUUGCAUUCUUCUCAUUUUUUCCCCGAAUUUGGGGAUAAAAUUUGUCGCAGGGAAUUUGAUCUUAGGGAAACAUUGAGUUUGGUUUGUGAACACAAGCUACUUCUGAACACUAUUUUAGCAAACAGAAUUUUAGAAGCAUAAGGCUCUAGCAGAGGGCUAUACAGAAUUUUGCAUAAACUAAAUAACAACCGUUUCCUCCUGAAAUGCAGGAAAUCAAGCUGCACGGGUAUGUUUGCUGAUUGGGUGAGUGAAUGAGUGAGUCAAUCAGUGAAAACUCCAGGCUCCUUUACUCUUCCUACCUUUCUUUAACAUCCUUAAACUUUUAUUUGAAUUUUUUAAAGUUUGUAAAUUGUUUUGCUUGUCCAUCUUGGACUGUCAGUUUCUGCCACCAAAAAAAAAAAGGAGUAAAAUUAAUUUUAAUUGACUUUAAUUUCAAAAAUGUGUCACACCAGAUUUCUAAAAAGUUGCAUUCUCAAAACAACUAGGCAUUAACAACUAGGCUUCAAGAAGCCUUAGAAUAUCUGUAACUAGAGAAAGAUGUGUGGCUGACUGAUUUACCAAGGACUAACAAUGACACUUGGGGAUAAAGUAUUUCUGGAUUAUGAAGACAUAACCUUUUAUUAAGUCUUGAGCCCCUUACUCCAACUCCACCAACCAGCCAACAGUUAUUCAAGCAGGUCCAACUGAGUUUCUGCACUGGGCGAGGAACUCUGUUAAAUGCUUUGGGGGAUAAAAAGAGGCCCAGUGGUGUGGUGGCUCACACCUGUAAUCCCAGCACUUUGGGAGGCCAAGGCAGGUGGAUCACUUGAGCCCAGGAGUUCAACACCAGCCUGGGCAACAUGGCAGAACCCCAUCUCCACAAAAAGUACAAAAAUUAGCCAGGCAUCGUGGUACAUGCCUGAAGGAGCUACUAGGGAGGCUCAGGUGGGAGGAUCACUUGAGCCCACGAGGUCAAGGUUGCAGUGAGCUGUGAACGUGCCAUUGCACUCCAGCCUGGGUGACAGAGCAAGACCCUGUCUCCAAAAAAAAAAAAAAAAAAGAGGUUGAGUACAUGGUUGUUAAGAAGUUAAGAAGUUUGUUAAGGGAGGUAGGACCUCUACGGACCUGUGGCAAGCACUUGUUCCAAGUUCUAAGGCACAGGAGACCACUUCUAAGUCGGGGGACAAUUAUGGGCUCUGCAGAAACGAUAAUAGUCAAUCUGUGAGGACUGAGCAAGAAUCAAUGGAGAGGCAUAAUACAUGCACUGUCCCCAAGCCAAAAGCCUGGUAUAUAUUUAGAAUAAUCAGUACAGGACUAGUUUUGCCGAGUGUCUGCUGUGGCCAGAGUGUGGAACAGAAAGGGGAUCUUGCAGGUCAAAGCCGUGUACCCAAGAAUGGAUAAUAUGGUCAGCCUGUGAUCUCAGAAUCUGUGUGGGAGUGAGAGGAGAAAAGGAAAGGAGUGACAAUGGCCUGUAAUGAGAGUUCAAAAGGAGACUUCUAUAGCCUAAGAUAGAGAUAAUGUCACUCUAAGUGUCUCUGGCAGGAGCCAAGAAAGAGAAAGAAGAAACAUAGCCAAUUAUUAAGCUGUUGGGCUCUAGAGCUUACCCAGCCUUGCCCUAUUGGCCUGGAAUGAGUUUACUGGGUGCUCCGUAAACUGCUACUGCAGUGGCUCUCACCCAGUAGCAUCUUAAAGGUGCUGCUCUGCUUCUGAUAGUUAUGCCAACAAUGACAUAGUAGAAGGCACUGGCUGCUGCUUCUCAGAUGGCCACAACCCCAAGACAGCAUGUUAGGAACCACUUACCUAUCAAUCCCAAAGUCCUUAGGUCUUCAGCAAAGCUUGGACCACUUGGCAAAGUCUUCUGUCUCCAGAGGAAUGAUGGGAAAACUAUGGGACAAAAGUCAGGAGAGUGGUGCUGGCUGAUCCUGGCCUGGACAUUGACUCCCUGGGGACUUUGGGUGAGUCUCUUCCUUUCUCCAAGACCCAAUUUCAUUUGUUAAAUGAGGAGGUUGGAACAAAUACUUGCUUCCAUGUCUUGCAUUCUAUGAGUUGGGAUCAAGUGACUGUCCUAAGUUCAUGAAGCUGCAUGGAAGUCAGAUCCUAGAACAGAUCCUGUGUCUCCUGAUCCCUCAAUCUAAUGUUCUUUCCACAAUGCUGGGCUGCAUGAGCAGAUGUCAAGGGUAAGAGGUAACAUUCAUUGAGUGGCUACCACAUGCCAAGUGCUCUCUCUUGUGUGUCUGUACUAUAUCUAGUUAGUUCUCCCAUCGUCAUCUGUGUUAGAUAAGAUUUUCAAAUCAUUUUACAGAUAGGAAACAAACAGAAAGAUUAAGUCAUUUAUCCACAAUCACACCAUUAGUAAAUGCAGAGCUAGGAUUUAAAGUCAGCCCAAUUCCAGAACCCAUUGUCUUCAUCUCUACUCUCUACACUACAUAGUAGAAUAAGAAGGAGUAGUUCAGUGACAUAAAGGACAUGGAACCUUAAAACAGAAAAUAUGGCAGUCUUUCAGAGGUGAAUUCACAUUGGAAGUAUGCGAGCUUUCUGAAGAAAUAUUUUGGUUAGUGUUGCUUGCCUGCACACCUCCCCACUAAUGACCACAUGAAUAGUCCCUGAGGGAUCAUUUGAGAUCCAGUGGCCUUAAAUGUGGUCUGAAUGGAGUAUGGAUAAUGACCACAUAGAAAAUCAGAAGGCAGUGGCCUCCUGGCUGACUCCUCUAGCUUAUAAGACAAGGAAAACCAAAACCACCACAGAUUAUUUUUACUACAGAAUAAAACCCAAGAGGAGUCAUCCCAUUGAAAUCUUUAGGGAGCCAAGCCGACAUCACCCCGAGGCAUGCACACAGGUUCACCCAGUAGAAUACAACUUGGAUUCACAACUAUGCCAAGACAGACAUUAUUUUAAGCAAAAUAAGGGGAGGGAGGACUUAAAACUUCUUUCAGAGGCCUAUAUGACAUGAUCUCUAUACUUUCUUUUACCUAUAAUAUCUGAGAUCUUUCUUCUAGGAGAGUGAGUUAUUUUUGAGCAGAUUUUUCUAUUGCUAAUAAAUAUGUGUUAGUACGAUGGAAAAAACCUUGGAUGAAGACUAGUGACUGUUUCUAGCCCAGCACUUUCACCAAGUGGCCUCUUGACCUUGGCUGGUCACUAGACCCUCUGGAGCCCUAGUUCCUCAUCUGUAGAGAAGGGACUGAUCUCUGUGAGUCAGCCAAGGACCAGGAGUCCUUGAAUUGUGAAUUUUGAUAGAUAGAUCCACCAAACAAAAUUGUGAUCCAUGGAGAUUAAAUUCAAGUAAGAACAAGAGGCAGUUCUCUUCUGGAGAAGAAAUUAGGUUCAGAUAAAAAGCUAUGCCUCUCUCUGGUUCUGGAAGCUUGGCUGGGCCUGACCUGCUGCCAAGCCUCGGAGACUCCUCAAUCUAUUCACACAGCAGGAGAGCAAAAGCUCUCUCCCUGGGAAGCUGUUUGCAUGAAGCAAAGCAGUGCAAUCCUCCUUGACCUCCCUGGAGGGAAGGUUUGCCUCCUUCUCAGGGAGAGUUUCCGCAGUAGAGAUAGUAGAAUACAGGAGGAAAUGAGCUGGACUGGAUAGAUAAGGCUGAGAGGAAAGCCACAUAUGAGACCACUGGACCACUCUGGGAUGGGGACACAAGCCCCCUUCAUGAUUCUGCCUCUUCAGAAAAUGGGUUUUCCCAUAGUUCUGCCAGAAAGCCUUUGUCAUAUUCUUGAUGCUCACACACCCAGAUGAUGGCUGUUUCUCCCUAUCCUUCCAGUUCAUGGUUGCAUUUACCAAAAUUUAUAUUUUUUUCUGAGCCUCUAGGACCUUUCCCAUGCUGUCCUAUAGAAGCAGGUUAGCUUUAUUCAGUAUUAUCUGCAUUGUGUAGAGUUGAGUACUUUAAAAGGAACUUCACAUUUCCAGCUACCCUGCUGUCUCUCAGGGUAAUCAAAAGUAUUCUGGAUUCUUUUCUAUGCAUUUAAAAUUUUCGCGUUAGGUGAAACUGCCAAACCCAUUCUAAGGUGGGAAAAAUGAAGCAUGGAAGAAUUGUGAUUUAUCCACAAUUACACACAUAGUACGUUUCAUGCCAGGAUUUGAAGCCAGUCACUGUGACUGCAGAACUCAUUCUUAAGCUCAACUCUCCACACUACAUAAUACAAUAAGAGAGGGAAGCUCAAUGACAUAGGGACACCACAAAUUUACAAACAAAUAUAUUCACAUAUAUAGGUGUGGCUUUGUUUCCUUUCUGUGUGGGGUUUGCAUUUUUUUUUUAGGAUAAAUGGGAUCAUACACUAUGUACUGUUUAAUGAAUUGCUUUUUCAUAUAACAUAUGUCUUGAAGAUAUUUCCAUGCAAUUUUAGAAUACAUCAACCUUAUUUGUUUAUAAUGGCAGUGUAUUCCACUAUAUGGAUAUUUACUUAACUUUCUUCCUACUGAUAGAAAAUUAAGUUUCUAUUUAAUUAAGUUUCCAGGUUUUCAAUUGCAAUGCUUCAGUUAAUAUUUGGUACUGUAUGCAGACAUAUGAAUAUUUCUGUAGUAUAGAUUUUUAGUAGUGAAAUUGUUUGGUCAAGGAAAAUGCACAUUUUUGUAGAUUUCUGAUAGGGUUUUGCCACCUUGGAUAAGGUCACAGUUAAAGCCACCAAGCUGAUGUGGACUCCAGAGACAGACAUUAUGAAUGAGUAUCCCUAUAGCUUACACAUAGUACCUCACAUAUUCCAAGGAGCCUUUACAUAUAUUAGCUCAUUUACUCGAUAAUAAGUUAUGAGAGAAGGCUAUUGUCAUCUUCAGAUAAAGAAAUGGAGACCAAGCAAAAUUAGAGAGAUUUGUCCAGGGUCAGUCUAUGAAUUAAAAUCAGAGUUAGAACUAGAAAAAAAAUUUCUCAUUUGUAUUAAAGCUAUUUCAUUAAAACCACAUUGGUAUAAUAAAUUGGAUAUAAUAAAAUGUUUGGUUUGUGCUUGGCUAUUAACAUAUCUAUGUAUACGAGUUUUUAAAAGUAGGCAACAUGAGCACAGUUGAACAUUGCAAGUUGUGAGGAUAGAAAUGUACGAGAGAAGUUGGGAGGUGUUUUCCAGCUCAGAAGUACUAUGAUCUUAUGAUCCUAGAGAAGUAAAUAAAUAAAAUGAAGAGAAGAACUCGGAAAGAAAAAGUAAAAGAUACCAAAAAGGCUGGUUGGGAUGGAAGAGUCUUACAAAAAUCGAUCCCAGGAAUCCCCACAAAGAGUUGCAAAAAAGAAGCCCUCAGGAUACACUAAUGUCUUGUGAAAGCCAGAGUAACCCAGGCUCAGACUUCUUGCCUAAAAACAGUAUAUAACCUAGAAAUUUCUUCUCCAAACCCAAAACAGGAAAAAUGACAAUUACUUAAUCAACACAGAAUCUUUAGUUGAAUUCACCCCAAAGAUAAUUUACUCCAAGUAAAAGAUUUUACAGUUAAAUAUUACUUAUGAUUGAACAAUAAGUAUCAUUAGAUAAAAGAAUUUUGAAGAGGAAUGAGUAAGCUUCUCUGCAGAAAUGAAUACAGAAAUCUGUUCUUGAUCAUCUUGAUCAGAAUAAUGACAGAAGGAGGAGGAAACUGUAAUGAUGUUUUGAUAAACUUGCUCAGUCAGGUGCCCUAACAUUUACAUGUAAAUUUCAAAUAAGGAUUCUACAAGGACUUAAGAUACCUCCUCUCAAUAGCUAUAAAGACAGCCUGCCCAGUCUCGGCUCCUUUCACUUAGUUAGUAGGCAAUUUAUCUAGAAAUUGUAACUCUCCUCUAGUUCUGACUAUAUAACUUGCAAAUGAGAUAAAUUAGGACAGAAUCAAAGACAAAGACUCAUACUGAGUAGUGUCUUCAAAGAUGAUUGUCUAUCAGUACCAACAAAUGCUUUUGAAAACAUAAGCUUUCUCUACCAACUGCUCGUUAAGAAAGAGAGAGAGAGAGAGACACACACACACACACACAGAGGAAAUGAGUCCAUUUAAGAAACAUGUAUUCUGAAAUCUAUGUGGUUCUUAAGGAGAAGGUCUUGGAUUAUGAGAAAUAGUUGGCAAGAGAUUGCACCUUAUUACUGUAUACCACUGGGAGUUUGGGCUAGAAUUUACAAUUUUGGCUUUACACAGGAUACUCAGUGUCCUGGCCACCCUGCAUAAAAGAUUGGCUGUGAAUUUUGCCAAGGACUUAUUCAUAUUUCAGCUAAUCAAGAUCUUUAAUAAUCGUCUGACUUCUAAACCACUUAUUCUGAGGCCUUCUGCAGCAACCCACGGGAAACAAAAGCCUUCAUUUUCAUUUAGAUUUCUCAUUUGACUGGCUCUAGCAAAGAAUCUCUUCUCUCUGUCUCUCUAGGGAUUCUUGAUAAAUAUGUAGCUUACAAGGAAAGCAAGCAAGGGGUUCAAUCUAUGACAGGAAGGAGAGGAACUACGACACCUUUGUAGGAUUCUCAACAGAUGCUCACUGCACUGAGGGCUUGAAGGAACUAUGAGAUUGUUGUUGCUGUGGCAACCACGCAUGCCUAAAUGAACAACAAAAUUAAUAGUCCUAACAGCCUUCAGUGGCGUCAACAGGAUGACAACACUUCCCUUUACUGGGAAAUGUGUACCCUCCAUAGUGACUCCACUUAGAUAUGGUUCUCAUAUAAAGAAAAAUAGUGUUUCAUAAUAGCAAACAAAUAGAACAACCAUCAUCUGCAUGUGCCACACAAACUUCUCCAAGCCACAGACAGCAGCCAGGUUACUCUGUUUCCCUGCUAAAGUUAAGAGGCAACUUUCAAAUUCCCAGGCCUUUUUGUGGCAUUCUAUUUAAUUUUGUCAUGCUGCUGCUAGUCUCCUGUUGAGCUUUUGUUGUGAGCCAAUAAGGCUAACGGGGAGCUAAGGGAAAGCAGAAUGAGAUACAAAGAGAAAAAAAGGUAAAAUUAGCUGAAGCCCAUAAUUGGACUCUGCUUGGCCUUGAGGAAGGCACAAUACAUAUUAAUUAAGCAGACUAAUAUGUUGCUAGCUGGAGGGGCUAUUCCAGACAGCAGGAACAAAGUUUAAAACAGUGCUCUCUCGUGCUCUCUCUGUCUCCAGUGAUAAGCUGACCAGAUGCCUUGAAUUAAGUACAGGGUCACCAACAUCUCUAAUAGAAUCCAACUGUGGAAUAGAAAAACUAUUUCGUCUAAGAAGUGGAUCCUAGCUGUCAAAUAAAAAAUCGCUGUUGAA